rnacentral:rRNA from 1 species
AAGACCUCGAAUCAGUAGG